rnacentral:rRNA from 1 species
CCUACGGGAGGCAGCAGUAGGGAAUAUUGCUCAAUGGGGGAAACCCUGAAGCAGCAACGCCGCGUGGAGGAUGAAGGUUUUCGGAUUGUAAACUCCUUUUGUUAGAGAAGAUAAUGACGGUAUCUAACGAAUAAGCACCGGCUAACUCCGUGCCAGCAGCCGCGGUAAUACGGAGGGUGCAAGCGUUACUCGGAAUCAAUGGGCGUAAAGCGCGAGUAGGCGGGAUAGCAAGUCAGAUGUGAAAUCCUAUGGCUUAACCAUAGAACUGCAUUUGAAACUGUUAUUCUAGAGUAUGGGAGAGGUAGGUGGAAUGCUUGGUGUAGGGGUAAAAUCCGUAGAGAUCAAGAGGAAUACUCAUUGCGAAGGCGACCUGCUAGAACAUAACUGACGCUGAUGCGCGAAAGCGUGGGGAGCAAACAGGAUUAGAUACCCUAGUAGUC